rnacentral:tRNA from 1 species
GCCCCAGCUUGGUUAGAGCGGUCGGCUCAUAACCGAUUGGUCGCAGGUUCGACCUGCAGGGGCCCCA